rnacentral:rRNA from 1 species
GAUCAUGGCUCAGGAUGAACGCUGGCGGCAUGCCUAAUACAUGCAAGUCGAACGAGAGGAAGGAAAGCUUGCUUUUCCGAAUCUAGUGGCGAACGGGUGAGUAACACGUAGGUAACCUGCCCAUGUGCCCGGGAUAACUUCUGGAAACGGAUGCUAAAACCGGAUAGGUAGCAGACAAGCAUUUGACUGCUAUUAAAGUGGCUAAGGCCAUGAACAUGGAUGGACCUGCGGUGCA